rnacentral:rRNA from 1 species
AGAACGAACGCUGGCGGCAUGCCUAAUACAUGCAAGUCGAACGAACACUUCGGUGUUAGUGGCGCACGGGUGCGUAACGCGUGGGAAUCUGCCCUUGGGUUCGGAAUAACAGUUGGAAACGACUGCUAAUACCGGAUGAUAUCGAAAGAUCAAAGAUUUAUCGCCCAGGGAUGAGCCCGCGUAGGAUUAGCUAGUUGGUGAGGUAAAGGCUCACCAAGGCGACGAUCCUUAGCUGGUCUGAGAGGAUGAUCAGCCACACUGGGACUGAGACACGGCCCAGACUCCUACGGGAGGCAGCAGUAGGGAAUAUUGGACAAUGGGCGCAAGCCUGAUCCAGCAAUGCCGCGUGAGUGAUGAAGGCCUUAGGGUUGUAAAGCUACUUUUACCCGAGUAUGAUAAUGACUAGUAUACGGAAGAAGUAACGCCCCGGACUAACCGUCCGU